rnacentral:rRNA from 1 species
GGAAUCACUGGGCGUAAAGCGUGCGUAGGCGGUUGUGUAAGUCUGAAGUGAAAGUCCAAGGCUCAACCUUGGGAUUGCUUUGGAAACUGCAUGACUUGAGUGCUGGAGAGGCAAGGGGAAUUCCACGUGUAGCGGUGAAAUGCGUAGAUAUGUGGAGGAAUACCAGUGGCGAAGGCGCCUUGCUGGACAGUGACUGACGCUGAGGCACGAAAGCGUGGGGAGCAAACAGGAUUAGAUACCCUGGUAGUCCACGCCGUAAACGAUGAGUGCUAGGUGUUGGGGGGACACACCCCAGUGCCGAAGGAAACCCAAUAAGCACUCCGCCUGGGGAGUACGGUCGCAAGACUGAAACUCAAAGGAAUUGACGGGGGCCCGCACAAGCAGUGGAGCAUGUGGUUUAAUUCGAAGCAACGCGAAGAACCUUACCAGGGCUUGACAUCCCUCUGACCGGUGCAGAGAUGUACCUUCCCUUUGGGGCAGAGGAGACAGGUGGUGCAUGGUUGUCGUCAGCUCGUGUCGUGAGAUGUUGGGUUAAGUCCCGCAACGAGCGCAACCCUUGAUCUGUGUUACCAGCACGUGAUGGUGGGGACUCACAGGUGACUGCCGGCGUAAGUCGGAGGAAGGCGGGGAUGACGUCAAAUCAUCAUGCCCUUUAUGUCCUGGGCUACACACGUGCUACAAUGGGCGGUACAACGGGAAGCGAAGCCGCGAGGUGGAGCCAAACCUAAAAAGCCGUUCGUAGUUCGGAUUGCAGGCUGCAACUCGCCUGCAUGAAGCCGGAAUUGCUAGUAAUCGCGGAUCAGCAUGCCGCGGUGAAUCCGUUCCCGGGCCUUGUACACACCGCCCGUCACACCACGAGAGUCGGCAACACCCGAAGUCGGUGAGGUAACCAUGAUGGAGCCAGCCGCCGAA